rnacentral:rRNA from 1 species
AGCGGAAACGAAGAGGUGCUUGCACCUCUGGCGUCGAGCGGCGGACGGGUGAGUAAUGCUUGGGAAUAUGCCUUAUGGUGGGGGACAACAGUUGGAAACGACUGCUAAUACCGCAUGAUGUCUACGGACCAAAGUGGGGGACCUUCGGGCCUCACGCCAUAAGAUUAGCCCAAGUGGGAUUAGCUAGUUGGUGAGGUAAUGGCUCACCAAGGCGACGAUCCCUAGCUGGUUUGAGAGGAUGAUCAGCCACACUGGGACUGAGACACGGCCCAGACUCCUACGGGAGGCAGCAGUGGGGAAUAUUGCACAAUGGGCGCAAGCCUGAUGCAGCCAUGCCGCGUGUGUGAAGAAGGCCUUCGGGUUGUAAAGCACUUUCAGUAAGGAGGAAAGGUUAAGUGUUAAUAGCACUUAGCUGUGACGUUACUUACAGAAGAAGCACCGGCUAACUCCGUGCCGCACCCGGUAUACGAGGUGCGACGUUAUCGGAUUCUGGCGUAAGCGUCCCNGC